rnacentral:lncRNA from 1 species
UUUCAUCCUCAGAAAGUGACAGCGGUGAGGAUGAAAAGAAGAAAAAAAAGAAAAUGAAAAUCAGCGAAACGGCAGAGCUGGGGAUUCUAGCAGAAACAGGUCUGGAGGGAAAUACUGAAUUAACUCCUGCAGGAGAAACUAAAGGAGACGAGGAGAAGAAAAAGAAGAAAGACAAAGUAAUUUCUCCUGUUCAUUGAGACUGCCUCUGCUCUAUUAUAUGAAUGACCUUACUUUUUUAAUUUUUUUUUUAGUUUCCAGGAUAAUGUCUCACAUUUUGUUUGCUCGCUUUUUAGUGCUUACUUUUUGCUCGAUUAAUUUUGAUAAUUUUUCCCAGGAUGCAGCUGCAAUCAGUUCAGACAGCGAGAAUGAAAAGAAGAAGAAAAAGAAGAAGAAGAAGAAGAAAAAUAAAAAGAAGCAGAAGAAGGAUAAGAAAAAGAAGAAGAAGAUGAAGAAGGUAUGAAGCGCAGAGGUUUGAAAGCGUUUUAUUUUCACAGUAUCUGUCUGGAAUCUGAAAUCUCUGUAUCUUCUGUGUUUCUUAGGAUUCCAGCUCAUCUUCCUCCUCAGACAGCGAGGAUGAUCACAAGAAGAAGAAGAAGAAGAAGAAGACCAAGAAGAAGAAGGAAUCAAGCAGUUCUUCCUCUGACAGCUCCAGUGAAGAUGAGAAGAAGAAGAAGAAGAAGAAGAAGAAAGACAAAAAGAAGAAAAAGAAAAAGGAAAAGAAGAAGGUACAAUGCAGCCUGAAGGCUUAUAAAGUUCUAGAAAUCAUUACAUUUGUGUGUUUUUCAUUAAAUGCAGACAAAAAGUCAUUAAAGUCAACAAGAGACGACGUAAAAUAAAUGGGACUCAUUUUGAUUUCAUGUUAAUGUUUAAGAGAAGUUUAUCUGUCUCUUAUAAGUUUAUUGCCAUGUGGCAAUUAAAGCAGCAGCUCUUAAAGCAAUACGCCCCAAGAAGCCGUGGUUUACAGUGAAUUUAUAACAGCUAAGGGGCGUUGUCCUAAAACCCCCUUAGCUGUUAUAAAUUCACUGUAAACCACGGCUUCACGGGGCUUAUUGCUUUUAUAAAACGGUUAUUCCAUAUACGUAGUAAGGUUUCACAAAAUAAAACAGAGCAAAUAAAGUGUAAUGAUAUUAAUAAAAACAGUAUUCUUCCACCAAACAAUGUAGUUCCUCAGAAUCAGUUGUGGUUCUAACAAAGUGGUUGCCGA